rnacentral:lncRNA from 1 species
GAGGGAGAGAGAAAGAGAGGGCGAGGGAGGAAAGUGCUGGCUGCCGCGGUGGUUGGCCGGCCGGGGCUCGGUCGGCGGCGGCCUGGGCGCGCGCAGCAGGUGCAGGGGAAGGAGAGGGAGGCUGCUGGGUGGUUGGCUAGGGCUAGGUUAGGGUUAGGUGAAACAAAACCCUAAGGCUCCGUUUGGAUCGGGAAUUAGUAGGAACUAGUUAUACCGGGGAUAGGUACAAGUAUGAGUUUUUGUAGGAAUAAGGGUAUUUUUUUGUUUGGAUGAAAUUGUGAGUAUAAGCUGGAACUAGAAAAAUUGUGUUUGGAUGGUUUUUGGGAAUAAGAGGAAUAGUUGGUAGUUAUAAAUAGAAAAUAAUAAUAUUAUCCCUAUAAUUGAAUUUUAAACUUAUAAUUUUA